rnacentral:tRNA from 1 species
GGGCACUUGGCGCAGUUGGUUAGCGCGACUGGUUUACAUCCAGUAGGUCAGGGGUUCAAAUCCCUUAGUGCCCA